UGGGGAAUUUUGGACAAUGGGCGAAAGCCUGAUCCAGCAAUGCCGCGUGUGUGAAGAAGGCCUUCGGGUUGUAAAGCACUUUUGUCCGGAAAGAAAUCCUUGGCUCUAAUACAGUCGGGGGAUGACGGUACCGGAAGAAUAAGCACCGGCUAACUACGUGCCAGCAGCCGCGGUAAUACGUAGGGUGCAAGCGUUAAUCGGAAUUACUGGGCGUAAAGCGUGCGCAGGCGGUUUGCUAAGACCGAUGUGAAAUCCCCGGGCUCAACCUGGGAACUGCAUUGGUGACUGGCAGGCUAGAGUAUGGCAGAGGGGGGUAGAAUUCCACGUGUAGCAGUGAAAUGCGUAGAGAUGUGGAGGAAUACCGAUGGCGAAGGCAGCCCCCUGGACCAAUACUGACGCUCAUGCACGAAAGCGUGGGGAGCAAACAGGAUUAGAUACCCUGGUAGUCCACGCCCUAAACGAUGUCAACUAGUUGUUGGGGAUUCAUUUCCUUAGUAACGUAGCUAACGCGUGAAGUUGACCGCCUGGGGAGUACGGUCGCAAGAUUAAAACUUAAAUGAAUUGACGGGG
rnacentral:rRNA from 1 species